rnacentral:rRNA from 1 species
UACAGAGGUGGCAAGCGUUGUUCGGAAUUACUGGGCGUAAAGGGCGCGUAGGCGGUCUGGUCAGUCCCUUGUGAAAUCCCCCGGCUCAACUGGGGAACUGCACGGGAAACAGCCGGGCUUGAGUUCGGGAGAGGGAAGCGGAAUUCCGGGUGUAGCGGUGAAAUGCGUAGAUAUCCGGAGGAACACCGGUGGCGAAGGCGGCUUCCUGGACCGA